rnacentral:rRNA from 1 species
GACGAACGCUGGCGGCGUGCCUAAUACAUGCAAGUAGAACGCAGUUGCGAACGGGUGAGUAACGCGUAGGUAACUGCCUCAAAGCGGGGGGUAAAUUACGGAAACGAUAGCUAAUACCGCAUACUGUGAGAUGGACCUGCUUUGGUUUAGGUUGUUGGUGUGGUAAAGGCUAACCAAGGCGACGAUACAUAGCCGACCUGAGAGGGUGAUGGGCCAACAUGUGACAUAGGAACGGCCCAGAAUCCUACGGGGGGCAGCAGUGGGGAAUGUUCGGCGAUUGGCGGAAGUCUGGACGAGUAACGGCGCGGGAGUGAAGAAGGUUUUCGGGUUGUAAAACUAUGUUGGUAGAGGAGCGGUAACUAACCAGAAAGCGACGGCUAACUACGUGCCAGCAGCCGCGGUAAUAC